ensembl:lncRNA novel transcript
AAUCGCAGUAAGGAAAGAAAAAUUCUCUGUUACUAAACCCCAGAAUAUCUUUUUCUACAAAAUUGACACAGAGCUGAGAUUUUACUCAAUCAUUAUCCCAUACGUUUCUCUUACUCUAAUUGCUAACUUUACACAGCAUUAA